CACUUAUGUGUCACGGACCCGCGAUAUAUUGGAGGCCGUCCAAUUCUGCGGAAAUUAUUAAAGCUAUGUAAACGCUUUCGUUUUAGGAACGUUGCCGCAGUCCAUGGAAGCGCUUUCAUCGCUGUUUCAACGCAUUUAUUAAAACAAAUCAAAGGAAGGCCUCAGGGGCUUCGUCGCUUAAGAGAGGCUGUGCGCUCUCCCUUAUGCCCUGCUGGCAACCAUAAGCGCUUACGCCGCGCAUAAGAACCAGCCCUCUUAAGAACAAGGCACAAAAGGGAAGAUGCGAGGCUGGUCGC